rnacentral:rRNA from 1 species
UUUAUCAGAGAGUUUGAUCCUGGCUCAGGAUGAACGCUGGCGGCGUGCCUAACACAUGCAAGUCGAGCGAAGCGCCUGCUUUUGAUUUUUUCGGGAUGAAGAAGCUUGUGACUGAGCGGCGGACGGGUGAGUAACACGUAGGCAACCUGCCUCACACAGGGGGAUAACAGUUAGAAAUGACUGCUAAUACCGCAUAAGCGCACAGGGCCGCAUGGCCCGGUGUGAAAA